CUCACACACACAGUUGGCUGGUUUAGAGUUCUGUCUCUGCCCCUUCGAGAUGCAUUGUCAUCUUUGACUGACAAAGAAUGAUGCGGUGUUGGGCAGUUGCCAUAGUGACCAGACGGCCCGCCUGGCCACUUACAGAUAGUUUGCUGACUCCAACGGACCUAUGACAGCAGCAGCAACUUGGAAGGAUGUCAAGCUCUAUCCAGGUGAAAUGAGAUCAGCUUGGGAAACAGACGUAGAAUUUUGAGCCGGGGAAAAUUGGGAAGACAUACAGAGCUCCUUGGAGACAUGGUUGGGACCCUCACUGUCUCUCAUCCGAAGGGCUCUAGGAGGCUCUGACCCUGUCCCUGCCUCUCACCUUGACACGCAGACUGUAUACCCUCUGUCUAACCCACUUCUCCCUGCCACCCUCCACCACUGCGGCAUUCAUCUUUCCAAAGGGAAAAUGGGAUCACCACUUCCUGCCGGAAGCACGCCAGAGGCUUCAGGGAGCCCUAGAUUGCCUGGAGGAACAUGCAAGCAAAGAGUCUAGUGCAGGAGAACGAACACCCACCACGCUUCUGGUCACCAGGAAUCCAGGCUUCCGGUCAACCCCUCACCUCUAGAAAUGGAUGUCUAUUUUCAAAAUAUUGCACUGGCAGCUUCAGCAGAAGCAAUCUAUCGCCCGCAAAGGAGGAGCUGAGCCAACAUAUGCGUGCAGAUAUCAAUACAAGUCUGGAGCUACACAUAAGCAGAGGGAGUGCUGACAGGGAGCUGGGCAGCCUGCCACUGAGGAGCUCUUUUAUAAAAGGCAGUGUUUCGCUUCCCUUACAAAAGACUAAAGGGUUGUGCCUGAUAUUCAUAGAAGCUGGGGCAAAAGAAAUCUCUGGUCUAUUCUGAGAGUAACUUGCCAUUGAUAUGGAUCCAACUAGAGAAAUAACAAUUCUCUAGUUUUCAGAAUUGAUCAAUGUACUGUGUUCUCACCCUAACAUAGGGAAUGCAGUGUUUUUCCAUCCAGUGUAGAGACCAAUAAACAGAAGGCCUAAGCCA
rnacentral:lncRNA from 1 species